GCUGCUGCAACAAAUUUUGAUCUUCUUUUUAUUUAGGAACUUUUUGUAUAAAAUUUACAAGCGCGUUUAUACAUAUUGAAAUUCUUUGCUUUAUAUUUACUAUUCAUAAAAAUGUUAGUACUAGCAGUACAGUAACGAUGCGAAAGAACUAUUUUGACGUAAAGCUUUAGAAAAGUAAAACAUCUGUGUAAUUUUAUAUAUCAAUUACAAUUACGAGAUUCUAGUCAUUAAGAUUCAUUAUCAAUAUCUGUGUGAUUCAGAAGGGCACAUGUUGUGACUCAAAUUCCUUUCCAUCUUAAUUAUAGAUGUCAAUGCCCUUCGUACGUGACCGAUGCGUUAACGGAAGAGGUUAAAAGUAAUAUAUACCGAAUUAAGCUUAACUCUGGUCCAUCGAGCGACAGCCGUUUGUUGCCCAACACAGCUGGUCAGUGUUCUAAGGAGCGAACCUGUCCACCCUUUACCGAAGACCGAUAGGGUUAAGCCCUAAAUCUGGAUCAAAUUGCAUCAGCUGUUGCCGAAUGUCAAGGGGAUUUUAUUUCACAGAUUUUUCAAAUAAUCUGAUAACAUCAGUCACUUAAACAUCGCGCUCGGAACUUAGCCGGCGGCCAUUAAGCUCACGCAUCUUCAAGCUGAAUAAUCGAGUUGGACAAGUUCUAUUAGUCCACGAGCCGGCGUGGAACAAUGGAAUGUUUUCCGUUUUCGCCACUCAUUCAUCAAUUUAGCACCUUAACGGAAGGACAGAGCGUGCGCUGCCGCUGAUUUUCUCCUAGCCAGGCCGGCGAACGUCUCUAUACAUCAGUGAUCAUUAGUGCUGCAUCCAAGUUUUUCUUGGAUCUUUUAAAAUUAUAUUUUUAUAGAACAUGAAAUCUUCAUGACAAUGGAAUUAUGCGUUUCUUGCGUUGUUUGGGGUUUGUAUAUUACUAUCUCAUAAGAAUGUGGACACAGAAUGGUGUAGAUAGAGACAUAAAAGUAACAGACUAGCUGACAACCUUAUCCUAAACAUUGUAGUUCACAUACUUUUUGAAUCAAUAGAAGAAGAUGAUAUAUUCAUAGAAAAUACGUCAAUUGUAGUAUCUCUUAUUUUUGUAGACAGUUUGGAUACUUUUUGAUAGUUUCCUCUACUCGUUGUACAACAGAGAAGAGGUUAAUUCUUUGUGAAAUUAUAAAGCUUCGUUUUCGUUGUA